AGGCGCCCGCGGGGGUGUCCCGCGGCACGCGCUCGGGCCAAUAAACAUCCGCUGUCUCACGGUUAAUUGGGAACCGAACUAAGGAGCGGUGCCGCCCCUCCGCCUCCCGGGAAGUUCAACCCGGCGGGCCCCGCCCCGCCCCGGCUCUCCAUCGUAGGCCGCCAGGUAAGGGAUUGGGAUCCACCUCCCACGACAGGCGGCGGGUUGGAAGCUUGGGUGACCUGGUCCGACCUGGCUGGAGCCAAGCAGGACUGCUUUCCUAAAAUACAAUGGUGUUUUAAGGUGCUGUCUUCGGUCAAAAAGACUGAAGAGGUCACUUUUCUGCUCAGACUUCCUUCUGUGAACAUUUAACCAAGGAACCAACUUCUCUGCGCAUUCCACAGGGCAGCAGAAAUAGAGGGACAAUAAAAUCACAGCUAAGUGCAUCAUAUUUAUCAUGUAAUAUCUCUGAUCCUUUCCUGGAACUGGGAAAAGAAGACCCUGGUGGAACAUUGCACUCAUAAAACAACAACAAAAAAGAAGAAACAAUUAUGAAACAGGAAUAUUUGAAGACACGCCUGCCUUAUUCCUUUCCUUUCAAGCCUUGCUCUUGGGUGACAGUUAUUGAAGCAGGAGCUCAAUUGUUCUGGUCCAUCUUUCUUAGAGAUGGAAAGCCUAAUCUGUCGCCAAGACCCAUUAUCCUUCGACUUGAGUCAGACAGUACAUCUUGCUUAUUGAAUCAGGGAAUAGUGCGUGUUUUAUGAAGACAGAAAGGAAAAGAUAAGUUUGCUCUUGCAACCUUCUCCUGUUUAUUAGUGUGUAUAGUUACUACCACUACCAUAAUGAGAGAGCUGUAUUUUAAAACUUGCAGAACAAUGUAAAUAAAUAGGUAGCACCUAUUGAAAAAGAAUGAAUUUGUCCUGUACUCCACCACUAUGUGGGAUGGCUCUGUGAUGAGGAGCACAGCAUUUCUGAAACAAUUCUGGUUUUGAUGAAUUCUCUGGUUAGCUUGACUUUACCUGUAUUAAGUUUGAAAACAUUUCUUAUGUGUGUUUUGUGCUUUGCCUGAGCUCAAGCAUCUCUAAGUACUUCCAAUCUCCUCAUAAAUACACCUUUGUAUUCUGCCUAAUAUAUAAACAUCACGACCCAUGUCUGAGAAUGUUGGGAAUUUUAUUAGGUUCAUAAAGUUUUAGUUGCGGUCUAGCCCAAUGGGUCCAAAAUAAAUAAACGCAGAGAGCAAAAAGAGUAACAAUUUUGUACUUAUUUCUUCUCCUCUCCCCUGAGAGUUUCCUCAGUACUGGUGAAGUACUUGCUGCAGUGGUUUCUGUGGCUUGCUAUCAAAGUAUCUGCAAGCCAGUAAGUGAGAGACAGAUGCAGAGUGUAAAAGCUGGGGGAAAGUAACUGAAAUAGUCCUGUUAAUGCAUUUCACUGAUUUCCUUGGUCUCUUUCCAUCUUAAGGAUAGACAGAAAUUGUGAAUAAUCAUGAAUGACUUGUCACAGCCAUGUUCCCUCUGUUGCUGUUCUGAGUGAAGGUGCUUGGUCGGGACAGCCUCCUAAACCCUGUGGAUGGAACAUGUAAACAAUCAGCCUGGCAGGAUGGAAACCUCUCUUUUAGCAUAUAGGGAGACCUGACUGCUGGACUGAGAUCUUCAGUUUGGGGUGGCCCCUUCUCUGGCUCCAGACAGUGUCAUUGUUCCUUCCUUAGCACAGAGCUGGCUUUGCCUACAGCAUCCACCACUGACAGCUAAGUGUGAUGCAACAGUACAGAAAAGGAGCUAUCAACAAUGCUAACAUCUUCACCUGAGCCAUGGCUGCACAGUCAACUCUUAGGUUUCCUUGGAAAUUUUUCAACAAAUCAAAAUUUUGUUGGAAACAUCUACACAGCUUUCAUAAUUCAAGUUACUUGGGCUUUUGAAAUGCCUUGGAUUUGACAGACUUCUGCGAGCUCAGAGUUACUGAUUAGAAUCAUCAAACUAUAGAUUGGAAAGGAUGCUUGGAGGUCAUCUGGUCCAACCUCAUGCUGAAAGCAGACCUGACUUCCCAAUUAGAUGAUGAUGUCCACGGCCUUGUUUGGUGAGCUGUGUCUUCUCUCUGGGAGCAGUGAUGCUGCAGUCUCCUUCUGCUUUCCUGUGCUCAACUGCACCCCAUGAGAAGAAUUUUCUUCCUUCUUUCAAAAGACAGAAUUUGGCUCCCUUGCAAAUGAGAGAUGGCAGACAUUGCUUACAUCCCCUGCAAUCAAACCAUCAGGCACUUUCCAGGGAAUGAUGAACGGUAGUCUCUCCUCAAAGGAAGCCAACAAUCUGCUGCUGUUCAGCUGAAUGCUGGACGUCUUUCCGUGACCUGAGUCACAAUGAUUAGGCCUUCUGCCGGUUUGUCUAUUAAACCUUCACAUUUUAAUUAGGGGUCUGGGAGGAGGGCUGUUUUCUUUGGAAGGGGAAGGAUGUCAUUUUCAUUUUUUCCCUCUGGUGUUCCUUCCUCUUGGGAAAGUUCCCCUGUGGAGCUUAAGUGUGGAUAAUUUGCUGUCUGCAUCAGGAAAAGCACCAUGUGCGGAGCGCAUAUGCCAGUGGACAAAGCGUCCUUUGGCUGCAGGACACAUGCCUCAGAGCAGGCAGGUAUCCAGGGAGUGGUGGGCAGCUCUCCCCACUGCCCAGGAUGGGAAGUGCUUCCCCUUUUAACUGCUUGUGCCCUGCUCCAAGCAAAAAGGAGGUCUCCUACUUGUCCCUAUAGAAACAGGUACCUUUGUGCAUCUGUGCUGUGUGGUUGCAGAAAAUGUCACAUUACAGCAGUAAUGUGUGUAAACAGUAAACAGUGACCUGAUGUUCACAUGCACUCAGAACCCUCCACAACCUUCUGUCACUGCAGGGUUGGCUUUACAGUUUGUGAUGGGCUUUCUCCACGUGAGAAGCAGGUUCUUCAUCACAGGACUGUUUCCUCUGUGCAUCUCUUUCUGCAAUCCCAGCUGGUUUCAGUGCUGUCAGAGCCGUCACAAGCGCUGUGCCUGCCUCCACUGGAGCUGAUGACAAGCCAUGUGAAUGACCACAAGAACAUUUUGUCUCAUUCCUCUGCCUGGAGCCUUUCUCCUCUCCACCCCAAACCACAGACUUACCCAGAGCUGGGGAACAGAGCUGAAGAAUUAAACCACAUUUUGCUCUGUGUCUGAAAAAACAUAGCAAGCAGUCACAUUUUGUAGAAAGUAGUAAACAAUCGAUUUUUUGUAGGACUGAAUGCAUCAGAAUGACGAGAAAUACCUCUUGAGCUUUCUCUGAAGUUAGAUUUCAUUUCCAUUACUGACAUGGUAGUGUACUAUGUCCGUCUUUUCACCAACAUACCAUACUAGGAAAUAAGAUGAUGACUGGAACUGUAAUUUCUACUUUAAAUUUAUGGAGGUCAGGUCCUCUUUAGGAUGAAUUGAAAAAUCUUCCUCUUGCCUUCACCAGUGAUUCAGUUUUAGUGUGCUGGACUGUGCCCAAGGGCUGGCAAACCACCUGCAGGUUGAUGUCUCCUUGCUGCAGCUGGAGCCCCUGGGAAGAGCUGGCAGUGGAAAUCCAGGACAGCUGCUCCAUCCAUUUAUCAGUUUCACAAGGAGCCUGCCACUAGCUCCUACAUGCUCCUGCAAAGCUGGCUCCACUAUCAAAUAUGACUUCUCCUUAUGGGGUGAAAAAUGCAUCAUUUUCUUCCUUAACAACAGAAUUUAAGAAUCCCGAUCCCCACGCCAAAUGUGAUAUUGCAAAAUUCUGAGGAACUAUAUAAAACUUGCAUCCUGACCUCCCGAGCUACUUUGCAAUCUCAAUUUCCAUGUCAGUCAGCUGGGUCACCUCAUUCUCCAGUGUCCUUGGCUAGGUUAUAUUGUCUUACGAAAGAUAAAUUUACAGAUGGAGACCCAAGGGUUAAAUUGCAUAGGGUAUAAGAUAAAGAUAAACCUAUGGAUGCCUAAAGAAGUUGUGGUUAGAUGUCAGCUGUUACCUCGUGCUGGCAUUCUUGGGUUAUGCAGAAAUGUAAGUUCCACACACAUGCUCUGUUGACACUGCUGUUUGUCCCAUGAAGUGUUUCUUCUUGGGCACUGAGAAGUUGGAUCCUGGGACAUAAAUCCCACUGCUGUUUUAUCACUGACUGCUGCCACGUGGAAGAUAAAACUUGUUACUCCCGCUGCCUUGCUGUCAGCCCUUUCUCCCCCAGCAGCUUGUCAAAUGCUGUUUGCAGAUUACACAGCUUUCAUCUACCCGCCGGAGGAUGCCUGCCUGCCGUGAUUCCACAUGCUCACAACUGCAGGGCAUGGGGAGACUCAGCACCAUUCACCCCCUGAUGCAGCUGAUGACUGUCCCAUUGUGAAGCCCAUUGCUGGGCCACUGGGAGUAGGAGUAUCCAGUGUUUACGGUGAGCAGCAACAUUGGCAUUGCAAUGUUGUUGAGCAAUUUUCAAACUUGAGGCUCCAGCUUCUCAUGUCCUUAGCCAGGAGCAAUUUCACAGCUGCCUUUGUACCAGCUGGGCUCCAACUCUGCAAGGCUCCACCCUUCCAAGAGCAGCAGCAAUGGAAAGGAAAUAGGAAGAAAUCAGAACGGUGUGAGAGGUGGAGGGCUGUGUUCAAGUGUGGCAGUGCCUCAUCCUUCAUUUUUACUGCAUUAUCUCCUAGAGAUGUCUGUGGCCUGUGGCUUCCCAGUCUCCCGUAAGAUCAGGCUCUGAACAGGAGAGACCAGAUGAAGGUCUUUGGCUGACAAAGAGAAAUCAAUUACCAUGACAGAUGGAUUGUAGCAGCUGGAGGUGAGUAAAAGAAAAACAGCCAUGAGCUCUCCUACAGCACACAGCGAGAGUCCACGUAAAGCUGCUGUAGUUCCCCUUCAGGAGGUGUUUCCAGCCACAUGAAACAGCCAUGGCCAGCAAAGUAAAUGCCCACCACCAGCCAAGUGUGCUACCAGGAGCAGCUCCUGUCUGACUCAGAAACUUCUGAAAAUACAGCCUUGAAGAGAUCCUACUGGUGUUUGUGUACUUGCAUGGCUUGGUGCUUAGACAGUAGUCAUCCUUCAGCAAGAAAAAGCAGUGGUGAACAAAAGAUUUGGUUUUUUCC